CCUACGGGUGGCAGCAGUGGGGAAUAUUGGGCAAUGGGCGCAAGCCUGACCCAGCAACGCCGCGUGAAGGAAGAAGGCUUUCGGGUUGUAAACUCCUUUUCUCAGGGACGAAGCAAGCGACGGUACCUGAGGAAUAAGCCACGGCCAACUACGUGCCAGCAGCCGCCGUAACACGGAGGUGGGAAGCGUUAUCCGGAUUUACUGGGUGUAAAGGGCAUGUAGGCGGGAAAGCUAGUCAGAUGUGAAAACGAUGGGCCCAACCUGUGGCCUGCAGUUGAAACUGGUCUUCUUGAGUGAUGGAGAGGCAGGCGGAAUUCCUAGUGUAGCGGUGAAAUGCGUAGAUAUUAGGAGGAACACCAGUGGCGAAGGCGGUAUGCUGGACAGCAACUGACGCUGAGGCGCGAAAGCGUGGGGAGCAAACAGGAUUAGAUACCCUUGUAGUC
rnacentral:rRNA from 1 species